rnacentral:rRNA from 1 species
AAAAAUUAGUGGCAGACGGGUGAGUAAUGCAUAGGAAUCUACCUAGUAGUAUGGGAUAGCCACUAGAAAUGGUGGGUAAUACUGUAUAAUCCCUGCGGGGGAAAGAUUUAUCGCUAUUAGAUGAGCCUAUGUUAGAUUAGCUAGUUGGUAGGGUAAAGGCCUACCAAGGCAGUGAUCUAUAGCUGGUCUGAGAGGAUGAUCAGCCACACUGGAACUGAGAUACGGUCCAGACUCCUACGGGAGGCAGCAGUGGGGAAUAUUGGACAAUGGGCGCAAGCCUGAUCCAGCUAUGCCGCGUGAGUGAGGAAGGCCUUAGGGUUGUAAAACUCUUUCAGUGGGGAAGAUAAUGACGGUACCCACAGAAGAAGUCCCGGCAAACUCCGUGCCAGCAGCCGCGGUAAUACGGAGGGGGCAAGCGUUGUUCGGAAUUAUUGGGCGUAAAGGGCAUGUAGGCGGUUCGGUAAGUUAAAGGUGAAAUGCCAGGGCUAAU